rnacentral:rRNA from 1 species
UACAGAGGUCUCAAGCGUUGUGCGGAUUCAUUGGGCGUAAAGGGUGCGUAGGCGGCGCGGUAAGUCGGGUGUGAAAUCUUGGAGCUUAACUCCGAAACUGCAUUCGAUACUGCCGUGCUUGAGGACUGGAGAGGAGACUGGAAUUUACGGUGUAGCGGUGAAAUGCGUAGAUAUCGUAAGGAAGACCAGUGGCGAAGGCGGGUCUCUGGACAGUUCCUGACGCUGAGGCACGAAGGCCAGGGGAGCAAACGGG